UUGAACUUGAAAAUGCAAUAUACUUUAAUCCAGAGAUUUAAAAAGUGAACAUACGUUUUAACCCAGUGGGUGCUGUAAACAGUACGUUGGCGGUUCACACCAGUUCAAAAAUUACCAAGGCAUCCAGUCUCCCAGCAAGUGCCAAGAGGCAUUCAUUCAAUGCUCCGCUGACAACAAUUUGCCCAAAGGUGAUGUUCGUGGCCUCCCCAGCUUCAGAAUCGGUCCUUGGGCAGCGUGGACAUCUCAGACUCGUGAAGGAACUGCAUCUCCUGCAGCUCCAUCAGCUUGCCGUGAUCCUUGAUGUGGGCAUAGUUGGCAGCAAGACACAUCAGAUAGUGCACCUGUGGGAGUGUCAGUAGCAGUCAGUGGUUUAAGGCAGGUUCUCCUCAACUGUGCCUCAAAAAAAUGUUGAGGAAUUCUCCAAGGAGAGCAAGGAAACCAGUCUCAUUACUUCAACUCUCUCAUAAAGUUAUUGAUAGAAACUCCAGUGAACCAAGGAAACUAUAUUGUCAGUACCAGUCAUGGUCUUAAAGCUGAAAAAAACACACACACUCACUGAAUUGAUUUGUAGUCGAUGCAUUCAGUGUGUGGCACAUGGAUGCAUUGAAACCAGGCCAGCGUGUAGAAGACAGUGAUGGCGAUGAGGCCGGCAAACAUGAGCAGCCAGGCCAGUGUGAGGAGGUAUGCCACACCCAUCAGCUGUGGGGACAACACUGCUCACACACUCACAGAGAAAAGGCAGCAUGGGAGACACUAUUCACACACUGCCACAGGAAAACAUCUACUGCUUUAAGGAUAGAGAAGCAGGAGAAAUGGACAAAAGGAUACAUGUUUUGAUUGAUGUGAAAAAAAAAUAGUUUCUGGGACAGAGAGAGGCUGGAUUCAUGAGAAAGUUGAGGAAUAUGAAAAAAAAAAAAAAAGUGAACAGUUUCUGGGACAAAGAGAGGCAGGAUUCUUGAGAGGGAACAAGAGAAGCUGAGAAAAGAAGAGUUUUGAGAGAUGCUGUAUAAAGGUACAGUUUCUGGGAGAGAGAGAGAGAGAGAGGCUGGACUCUUGAGAAAAGCAGAGAUGUUUUGAGAGACAUAAAAGAAAUGUGGCUUCUGAGAUUAGAGGUGAGAUUCUUGAGAGGACACCAAGAAAAGCUGAAAAAGUGAGUGAUAUUUUGAGUGAUGUGUGAAAAAGUACUGACAAAGACAGGAUGAACUCUUGAGACAUCACAGGAAACACUGAGAGAAGAGCACAAUUUUGAAUGAUAUAAAAAAGCACAGAGGCCAGAUUCUUAAGAGAUCAUGAGAGAAGAUAAAAAAAACACAGAGACUAGAUUCUUAAGAUUAAAAAAAGCACAGAGGCUAGAUUCUUAAGAGAUCAUGAGAGAAGAUAAAAAAGCCACAGAGACUAGAUUCUUAAGAGAUCAUGAGAGAAGAUAAAAAAAAAGCAGACUAUAUUCUUAAGAGAUCAUGAGAGAAGAUAAAAAAGCACAGAGGCUAGAGUCUUGAGAGAUCAUGAGAAAAGAUAAAAAAGUACAGAGACUAGAUUCUUGAGAGAUCACUAGAAGAUAAAAAAGCACAGAGGCUAGAUUCUUGAGAGAUGAGAGAAGCUAAGAAGAGAGAGAGAGAGAGAGAGAGAGAGAAUCUUAGAGACAAUACAAGAGAAGUUAAGAAAGGCAACACACAGGAGCACUGACCAGAGCACAGGUAAUUUUUCCCCCAAGUCUUGCCCUCCAGGAGUUGUAGACACGACGCAGAGUGUUACCACUGGACAAACACCCAACUAUGAGUAUCAUGAGCCCCAAGACUGCCCAUGCCAGCCCCCCACCACCAUGAAGGACAGCUGCACUGGCUCCAUCCUGUUACAGCAAGACACAGCUGUUAUUAACUUGAUAACAUGAAGCUAAGGCAAAUCCAACCCAAACCCAACCCAGUGUAACCCGGCAUGUCCUGACCUCUGCUUACCAUGUGAUGUGAAGGUUGAACACUUCCCGAAAGAGGCGCAGGGUGAGAGUGGUGCCCCUGUGCAAGGUGCCACAGAACACACCCACACCCACACAGCACAUGACAGUAGCAAUGAGUGUGGCGUACGGGACACGCCCCCAGGCAGUCCCGGCACUUGUGUUGGCCUGUGGCAGAGAAACAGAUGUGGUGAAGACAGUGUUAUGCACCACCACACCACCCAUUACACUUCCUGUCUUGCUUGGUGAAUGAAGAGAGCACCCACAACAUCACAUCAUUGCAUCACCACAUCACCACACCACCACCUCCUGUCCUGCCCCAGUGAAAUAGAACAUCUCCACCACAUCACCACAUCAAGAGUCAGUGAUUGGGUUUAAUGUGAACCGAGGCCUGCAGCGGCCAGGGGUGGUAGUUGGGGGAGGUCGCGGCCCCCAGCGCCCUGUGGGUCCAGGUGGGGGCGUGUUCCUCAACCCGGACUUUCCCACGUCCCUGAUCACUCCUGCCACUGCC